rnacentral:rRNA from 1 species
UACGUAGGGGGCUAGCGUUGCUCGGAAUUACUGGGCGUAAAGCGCACGUAGGUGGCUUUUUAAGUCGGGGGUGAAAUCCUGGAGCUCAACUCCAGAACUGCCUUUGAUACUGAAGAUCUUGAGUCCGGGAGAGGUGAGUGGAACUGCGAGUGUAGAGGUGAAAUUCGUAGAUAUUCGCAAGAACACCAGUGGCGAAGGCGGCUCACUGGCCCGGUACUGACGCUGAGGCACGAAAGCGUGGGGAGCAAACAGGG